AGUCUCUCUUGGUAUACUCGUGUGUGUGUGUGUGCGUGUGCGUGUGUGUUUGCGCACGCGCGCGCGAGCAAACAUAAUUGUGCUUUGGACGUCGGAUGUCGUACCUAGUACAUAAAUGGACUAAUAAAACUUGUUCAGAAGGUGAUCGUUUGAAAUACUGAAUAACAGCAAAGUGCUGAGUCAUCGCUGGGCAUAAAAGGAACAGAAUAAUGCUUCAAGAACAUCAAGAGUCAACUUCCAUAAAAUUAUGAAGGGGAGACGCAGUUGCUUAAACAUGUGCCUCUCCCCACUCAGAGGAGAAUAAUACGUGAUAGUGUCAGCUGAGCUCCUUCAAGCACCAAAAGAGAUGAAAAACAUGGCUCAAUAGGAUGAGAACAAUCUGGCGGAUGGCUCAAGAUGACUGCAGAUUUGUAAAAGUGCAAGCACAGGAGCCAUGAGGGACAACGCAUGGCUUUGGAGGCGAUGAUGGUAUUGUCAUUAAAUAUAUAUUGAGCGUAUCAAACAUUAACACAGUUUCAAAGGCUAAAACAUUAUGCAUCAUGUCACACACAUUAUAUGCAUCUUGAGUAAUUAAAUCAAAUACGCACCGUGUCCCGUCACUAAAUAUAUCUUAGAAGUUUAAAACAUUUACAAAACAUGUCUUGUCAGUAUCUAUAUCUUGAGAGUCAAAAAUAUGUAUAAAGCACGUCGUUAUUAUGUAUGUAUGUAUGUAUAUGUAUAUGUAUAUGUAUAUGCAUGUGUAAAUAUGUAUUUGUGUGUCAAACUAUAAUUUGAAAGGUCAUAAUAAUGUUACAUCAUGUCUUGUAAAUGAAGAUACCUUGAAAUGUUAUGUGAUUUUUACUUCU